UCCACAAAGCUUGUCUUUGGUACUCAGGUGCUUCCGUCCUGUGCCAGAGACAAGCUUUGGGAAG
rnacentral:miRNA from 1 species